UUAUAUUUUAUAAUUUAAAUUAUAUUUUAUAUUUUAAAUUAAAUUAAUUAAACUGUCAUCUAGGUUUUUAAUAAAUGAUACCAUCAUCUUUCAAACUUUAAAUUGAUUAUACUGCCAUCAACCAUUUAAUUAUGCCAUCAUCAUCCAAUCUUUAAAUUAAUUACACCUUCAUCAUAUGGACUUUAAAUUAAUUAUUCUGUCAUCAACCAGACUUUGAUCUAAUUAUACCAUCAUCAACCAGAUUUUAAUAUAAUUAUACUGUCAUCAUCUAGGUUUUAAAUAAAUUACACUGUCAUCAUCCAAACUUUGAACUAAUUAUACUGUCAUUGUUUAUAUCUUAAAUUAAUUACACUGUCAAUAUCCAGGUUUUAAAUAAAUUAUACUGUCAUCAUCCAGACUUUGAACUAAUUCUACCAUCAUUGUACAGAUUUUGAUAUAAUUAUACUGUCAUCAUCUAGGUUUUAAAUAAUUAUUCCUUCAUUUGGAUAACUAGUCAUUAACUACCUUUGCGAAAUUCAUGAGUUUAGAUAUAAUUGUAUACCAUGAAGAGAAGAAUUUGAGAUUCCAAAACUAACCCUUUGUCUCCAAGAAGAAGAAUCAGGCCUUAAAUAUAACAGCUUCUUUUCCUCAUGGCAUAUACAAACCAGACCAAAUAUACACACUUUCAGUGUAAUUUUUGCUGAUAACCACCACCAGUCUUUUAGAUUCUGUUUUUAUAACCUGUUAAAAAUACCAUGUACACUUAA